CCUGCCCCUAGAGGCAUUGCAGGUGUGGCUGCUGUGUCACAUGUAUGUCAGUAGGUGGCGAGAGAGGCUAUGUCUAUGCUCAGUGUUCUGACCUACGAACAUGCAAAUGAUUAGAAGCCUAAUAUU